rnacentral:rRNA from 1 species
AUUGAACGCUGGCGGCAGGCCUAACACAUGCAAGUCGAGCGGAUGAAGGGGGCUUGCUCCUGGAUUCAGCGGCGGACGGGUGAGUAAUGCCUAGGAAUCUGCCUGGUAGUGGGGGAUAACGUCCGGAAACGGGCGCUAAUACCGCAUACGUCCUGAGGGAGAAAGUGGGGGAUCUUCGGACCUCACGCUAUCAGAUGAGCCUAGGUCGGAUUAGCUAGUUGGUGGGGUAAAGGCCUACCAAGGCGACGAUCCGUAACUGGUCUGAGAGGAUGAUCAGUCACACUGGAACUGAGACACGGUCCAGACUCCUACGGGAGGCAGCAGUGGGGAAUAUUGGACAAUGGGCGAAAGCCUGAUCCAGCCAUGCCGCGUGUGUGAAGAAGGUCUUCGGAUUGUAAAGCACUUUAAGUUGGGAGGAAGGGUAGUAAGUUAAUACCUUGCUGUUUUGACGUUACCAACAGAAUAAGCACCGGCUAACUUCGUG